rnacentral:rRNA from 1 species
AUUGAACGCUGGCGGCAGGCCUAACACAUGCAAGUCGAACGAGUGGCGGACGGGUGAGUAAUGUCUGGGAAACUGCCUGAUGGAGGGGGCUAACUACUGGAAACGGUAGCUAAUACCGCAUACCAUCAGAUGUGCCCAGAUGGGAUUGGCUUGUUGGUGGGGUAACGGCUCACCAAGGCGACGAUCCCUAGCUGGUCUGAGAGGAUGACAAGCGACACUGGAACAGAGAGACGGUCCAGACUCGUACGGGAGGUAGCAGCGGGGAAUAUUGCACAAUGGACGCAAGCCUGAUGCAGCCCUGCCUCGUGUAUGAAGAAGGCAUUCAGGUUGUAAAGUACUUUCAGCGGGGAGGCAUUACCCGCAGAAGAAACACCGGCUAACUCCGUGCCAACCGCCGCGGUAAUUC